rnacentral:rRNA from 1 species
GACGAACGCUGGCGGCGUGCUUAACACAUGCAAGUCGAGCGGUAAGGCCCUUUCGGGGGUACACGAGCGGCGAACGGGUGAGUAACACGUGGGUGACCUGCCCUCAGCUCUGGGAUAAGCCUGGGAAACCGGGUCUAAUACCGGAUAUGACUCCAUGACGCAUGUUGUGGGGUGGAAAGCCUUGUGCGGCUGAGGAUGGGCCCGCGGCCUAUCAGCUUGUUGGUGGGGUGAUGGCCUACCAAGGCGACGACGGGUAGCCGGCCUGAGAGGGCGACCGGCCACACUGGGACUGAGACACGGCCCAGACUCCUACGGGAGGCAGCAGUGGGGAAUCUUGGACAAUGGGCGCAAGCCUGAUCCAGCCAUGCCGCGUGGGUGAAGAAGGCCUGGU